UGGGGAAUAUUGCGCAAUGGGGGGAACCCUGACGCAGCCAUGCCGCGUGAAUGAAGAAGGCCUUCGGGUUGUAAAGUUCUUUCGGUAUUGAGGAAGGCUGAUGUGUUAAUAGCACAUCAAAUUGACGUUAAAUACAGAAGAAGCACCGGCUAACUCCGUGCCAGCAGCCGCGGUAAUACGGAGGGUGCGAGCGUUAAUCGGAAUAACUGGGCGUAAAGGGCACGCAGGCGGUUAUUUAAGUGAGGUGUGAAAGCCCUGGGCUUAACCUAGGAAUUGCAUUUCAGACUGGGUAACUAGAGUACUUUAGGGAGGGGUAGAAUUCCACGUGUAGCGGUGAAAUGCGUAGAGAUGUGGAGGAAUACCGAAGGCGAAGGCAGCCCCUUGGGAAUGUACUGACGCUCAUGUGCGAAAGCGUGGGGAGCAAACAGGAUUAGAUACCCUGGUAGUCCACGCUGUAAACGCUGUCGAUUUGGGGGUUGGGGUUUAACUCUGGCGCCCGUAGCUAAUGUGAUAAAUCGACCGCCUGGGGAGUACGGCCGCAAGGUUA
rnacentral:rRNA from 1 species